GACAGAGGGUGCAAACGUUGUUCGGAAUUACUGGGCGUAAAGCGCGUGUAGGCUGCUUAGAAAGUCGGAUGUGAAAGCCCUGGGCUCAACCUAGGAAGUGCAUUCGAAACUUCUGAGCUGGAGUGCUGGAGAGGAAGGCGGAAUUCUCGGUGUAGAGGUGAAAUGCGUAGAUAUCGGGAGGAACACCAGUGGCGAAGGCGGCUUUCUGGUCUGCUCUUGACGCUGAGGCGCGAAAGCUAGGGUAGCAAACGGG
rnacentral:rRNA from 1 species